GACCGCUCUGGUGGCAUAGUAGUUAGAGCGUCCGCCUCAGAUGCGUGGAGGUCAUGGGUUCGAUCCCCGGUCGAGUCA